rnacentral:pre_miRNA from 1 species
AUCACCUGGGGAUCUUGUUAACAUGCAUAUUCUGAUUCUAAGUCUGGAUUGGGGCCUGAGACUUUGCAUUUCUAAUAAGCUCCCAAGUGAUGAUGC